UAUAACACUUUAAUUAAUUAUGAAGCUCUUAAAGGUGCGUUUGGUUCAAGUUAUCCUGGUAGAAUUACAAGCAAUCCUGUCAGGAUUACCGUGUUUGGUUCAUCCGCUCUGUAAUCUAGUCGGUAAUAUAGCAUUACAAAUCGAGCAGGAUUACACCAAAAAUAUUAACAAGAGAGGGGUCGUGUAUGUUGUAUUACUGAAAACCGGUAAUACUAUAUAUUAUAUAAAAUGACAAUUUUACCCUCUAACUCUCGAAACUCUUUCAAUAUGUUAUUUUAAAAAAAUUAAUUUAAAAUUUUGAAUUCUCAACUUUUAAUUUUUAAUUUUUAAUUUUUAAUUUUAAAUUUUUAAAUUUUUAAAUUUUAAUUUUUAAACUUCAAAUUUAAAUUUUAAAUUUUAAAUUAAAAUUAAAAUUUUAGAUUUUAAAUUAUAGGUUUUAAAUUUUAAAUUUUAAAUUUCAAAGUUCUCAGAUUUUAAAUUUCAAAUCUCAAAUCUCAAAUCUCAAAUUUUAAAUUUUAAAAUACAAAUUUGUAUUUUAAAUUCUGAAUUUUAAAUUUAGAUUUUAAUUUUUUAUUUUAUAUAUAUUUAUAUUUAUAUUUUAGAUUUUAAAUUUAGAAAUUUCAUAUUUAUAUUUUAAAUUAAAAUAUUAAAUUUAUAUUUUUGUUUAAAAUUUAAAUUUUAAAAUUUUAAAAAUUAAAUUAUUUUAAAAAAAAUUUGGUAAAAAAUUAUUGUUUGUAAACAGUAAAAAAAAGUUUACAAAAUAUAACUAAGAGCAAUUUUGAAAUAGACUAUAGUUUAUUGUUUAGAUUACUAAAUUUUAUAGGCAGAACCAAAUAUAAUAAUGCUUUAAACAUUGCAAUCCGGUAUUAUAUUACUGUAUUAAAUCAAACGCGCUAAUGCAGCAUCAGUAGUAAUCUCAUUUAGAAAUUCAAAAUAUCUGGAUAUAUCGAAAUACUCUGUAAUAUGACAUAACUCGAACCAAUCAGACCCUAAGUAAUAUUGUACAUAACGUCAGGGGUGACAUCACUAAUACCGUUUAUGCUAUCAUAAUCAGCGGCUAGUAUAGUGGUUGACAUGACAUUUUUUGAAAAAAAAAUUAUUUUUAUUAAGGAUAAAGUUGUUAAAUAAUACGAAACGCUGCACUUUAAAAUUUUAAAUUUAUAAAGAACGAUGUUUAAAUAUUUUCAUAUUUAAGACUUUCUCUCAUGUCUAGGCUGGAGAGAGCCUAGUGUGACUCGAACUUAGAACUUUUUACUUUAAUGCCAUAUUAAAUAAUACGAAAUAAACGUUAUAUUCUAAAAAUUUAAAUUAAUAAAAAAUAAUGUUUAAAUAUUUUUAUAUUUAACAAAAAUAGCAUGCUAUUCAGUACAUUCACGAAGAAAAUAAAUUAGGCUACAAGAGUGACGUAGCGAGGCCUCAAAGAGAAAU
rnacentral:lncRNA from 1 species